rnacentral:rRNA from 1 species
GUGGGGAAUAUUGCACAAUGGGGGAAACCCUGAUGCAGCAACGCCGCGUGAGUGAUGAAGGCCUUCGGGUUGUAAAGCUCUGUCUUUGGGGACGAUAAUGACGGUACCCAAGGAGGAAGCCACGGCUAACUACGUGCCAGCAGCCGCGGUAAUACGUAGGUGGCAAGCGUUGUCCGGAUUUACUGGGCGUAAAGGGAGCGUAGGUGGAUAUUUAAGUGGGAUGUGAAAUCCCCGGGCUUAACCUGGGGGCUGCAUUCCAAACUGGAUGUCUAGAGUGCAGGAGAGGAGAGUGGAAUUCCUAGUGUAGCGGUGAAAUGCGUAGAGAUUAGGAAGAACACCAGUGGCGAAGGCGAUUCUCUGGACUGUAACUGACGCUGAGGCUCGAAAGCGUGGGGAGCAAACAGGAUUAGAAACCCGGGUAGUCC